rnacentral:rRNA from 1 species
AUUGAACGCUGGCGGCAGGCCUAACACAUGCAAGUCGAGCGGAUGAAGGGAGCUUGCUCCUGGACUCAGCGGCGGACGGGUGAGUAAUGCCUAGGAAUCUGCCUGGUAGUGGGGGAUAACGUCCGGAAACGGGCGCUAAUACCGCAUACGUCCUGAGGGAGAAAGUGGGGGAUCUUCGGACCUCACGCUAUCAGAUGAGCCUAGGUCGGAUUAGCUAGUUGGUGGGGUAAAGGCCUACCAAGGCGACGAUCCGUAACUGGUCUGAGAGGAUGAUCAGUCACACGGGAACUGAGACACGGUCCAGACUCCUACGGGAGGCAGCAGUGGGGAAUAUUGGACAAUGGGCGAAAGCCUGAUCCAGCCAUGCCGCGUGUGUGAAGAAGGUCUUCGGAUUGUAAAGCACUUUAAGUUGGGAGGAAGGGCAGUAAGUUAAUACCUUGCUGUUUUGACGUUACCAACAGAAUAAGCACCGGCUAACUUCGUG